AGCGCGUGGCACCCAUGGCAACGUUUAUUUCCUGCGGCAUUAACUCUCGAGUUACACACAUGUGUAUACAUCGAACAUACCGAUACUUAGCUUUCUAAGCCGAACAGGUGCAUUUGUAAUGCGUACCCGACUGUGAGAUUGUGCAAUUGACAGCAGUAGUGACUGGAUUUUGGAAACUUAUGAUAGAAGAACACAGGUGACGAAUCACGUGGUGUGGCAACACUGAAUAGGCCCUCCGCCUCCGGUCACUAGAGAAGGUCGGUGUGAAUUAAACAUAGUCUACUUAAGUUGUCAUUUGAAUGAAAUUUAUGUGCGUGGAUUAAGGAAUAUAUUGUUUUAAAUACACAAUAAACAUAGCAUACGUCAGCAUGUUGCCAAUACGACCAAUACGAAGAAAAUUUGUUUAUUUGGCAACUGUCGCGAUUUUAAUUGUUUAUUGCCUGUUAGUGUUUCGCCCGGGCAUGCACACUUAUUCAUGCUCGACAGUUUAUCACAAUGGAUUUAACGAUACCUCAAUGAGACGCUGUCGUUACGUGUAUUUAGAUCUCGGGUCAAACAAAGGUGUGCAGAUACGAAAACUAUAUGAACCUUGGUUGUACCCUGAAGGCAAAAUUUUGCAAUUUUACGACAAGAUAUUUGGUAAAGUCCGCUAUCACUCCAGGCGCGAUGUCUGUACUUUUGGUUUUGAGGCGAAUCCACGACACAUGAAGCGAUUAAAGUAUGUCGAAAAGCGUUAUAAAAGCUACGAUAUCAAUGUCACUUUCUUCAAUAAUGCUGUCAGCAACAUCUCCUCUGAAAGCGUCACCAUUUAUUCGGACACAAAUUUUGAUAUCGACUGGGGGUCAGGUAUUCAUAGCAGCUUGAUUGACAAUAAGACCAACAUGACUAUAUAUGAGGUGCAAACCAUUGAUAUCGUAAAGUUCUUUGCCGAAAACAUUGUUCCGUUAAAACCGGAAUACGUGUUCGCUAAGAUGGAUAUAGAAGGUUCAGAAUUCAUAGUCCUUCCCCAUAUGCUGAAGGGUGGGCUUCUCUGCGAUCACACGAUAUCUUCAAUGGUGUUAGAGAUGCAUGACCGCGUCAGAGAGGAAUUUCAGUCAGACCUAUCCUUUGCCACAUUGAAGGAAAGAUUGAAGGACCAAGCUUGUACACCAACUACUAUACACGAUCUAGAUGACGAGACAUACACGGGGGACGUCUCAUUUGAGCCAUGUGAGAAAGAAAGCGAAACGUAUAAUACGUUUUAGGUUUCAAUGUUAAACGCUAGUAAAUAACGUGCAUGAAAGGAGUUACGAUGCCAAACGUGUAUUAUUGAGUGCCAAAUGAGCCAUUUGAACAAUAUGAUGCGUUUUCGGUUUUUAUGUUCAACGCAAAUAAAUAAUGUGCAUUAAAAGAUUCACUUGUAUAUUUCAAAGUGGCGAUGCAAAGUGUAAUCGGGUGUUACAACGACAUGAGCUUAAUACGACACCUGUCUUAAAACAUUAGUUGUAAAAUAUAAGUAUGGUAGUGGUUUAUUGAAAACGAAUUGUUACUGUAAGUAAUUAACGAAACAUUUUAUUUAUGAAACUAAUACAGGAAUGAUGUAAUUUUAAUAAAUAGACGUGUGUUGCCUGUUUAUGUUGAUUGUCAUUUCGCGCGUUUACUACCUGUAUUCACAAAUUAUGAACACUCUAUUUAUGCUACUUCAUUGUAACAAUCAUGUUUUGUAGAAAUUUUACAAUAUAAAUUAUUGUUAAAAUCAUUAUUAUAUUGGACAAACACCAAGUGAAACAAUUGCAUUAUUGAAAUUGGACACAUUCCUUAAGUCUUAAUUUCAUUUUCCAUCUGCAUCCGCUUUAACCAUCACGACACUAUUAUUUGGUUAAAACUUAAACAUGAUUUUUUUAAUACUGCUAAUGAUAUGUAUAUAUGUGGAAGCUAUGUAUGGGGAGAAGAUUCUCCAGUUUAUAGUACCAUUAACGUGGAUCUUUUUGAUAUUUUAGAAAAUGAUGUUUCAUAUUAUUCUGAACUUGGUACUGUCUUUGUUACAGGAGAUCUGAAUAGUAGAACCAGUAAUAAAUGUGAUUUUAU